rnacentral:misc_RNA from 1 species
GAUGAAGAACGUAGCGAAAUGCGAUAAGUAGUGUGAAUUGCAGAAUUCAGUGAAUCAUCGAAUCUUUGAACGCACAUUGCGCCCCUUGGUAUCCCGAGGGGCAUGCCUGUUCGAGCGUCAUUUCACCACUCAAGCCUGGCUUGGUGUUGGGCGACGUCCCCUUUUGGGACGCGCCUCGAAACGCUCGGCGGCGUGGCACCGGCUUUAAGCGUAGCAGAAUCUUUCGCUUUGGAAGUCGGGGCCCCGUCUGCCGGAAGACCUACUCGCAAGGUUGACCUCGGAUCAGGCAGGGAUACCCGCUGAACUUAAGCAUAUCAAUAAGCGGAGGA